GUUUUUGUAGUUGAACACAACGGCGGUUUUUCAAAUCACAGGUCUUGGUUAAAAUCCAGGCAAGAACU
rnacentral:tRNA from 1 species